GACGAGCGGCGGACGGGUGAGUAAUGUCUGGGAAACUGCCCGAUGGAGGGGGAUAACCACUGGAAACGGUGGCUAAUACCGCAUAACGUCUACGGACCAAAGAGGGGGACCUUCGGGCCUCUUGCCAUCGGAUGUGCCCAGAUGGGAUUAGCUAGUAGGUGGGGUAACGGCUCACCUAGGCGACGAUCCCUAGCUGGUCUGAGAGGAUGACCAGCCACACUGGAACUGAGACACGGUCCAGACUCCUACGGGAGGCAGCAGUGGGGAAUAUUGCACAAUGGGCGCAAGCCUGAUGCAGCCAUGCCGCGUGUGUGAAGAAGGCCUUCGGGUUGUAAAGCACUUUCAGCGAGGAGGAAGGCCAAUAGCUUAAUACGUUGUUGGAUUGACGUUACUCGCAGAAGAAGCACCGGCUAACUCCGUGCCAGCAGCCGCGGUAAUACGGAGGGUGCAAGCGUUAAUCGGAAUUACUGGGCGUAAAGCGCACGCAGGCGGUUUGUUAAGUCAGAUGUGAAAUCCCCGCGCUUAACGUGGGAACUGCAUUUGAAACUGGCAAGCUAGAGUCUCGUAGA
rnacentral:rRNA from 1 species